AGACACACAGGUGAAGACGUUUUAAAGACAUAGUAAAGUGGGGAUAAAAUACGCUAAAAAGGGGAAGAAAUUCAAAAGGGGGGGGCACAAGACAUACAGGUGAAGAUAUCAAGUAUUGCAAACUAAGCUGCUUAUUUGGCCCACCAAAAUAAUAUAACUUCUUCUCCAUUCAUUCCCCUUUUGUGCCAGGAACAGAAUUCUUGACUUAAAAAAAAAACAUGCAAGUCAUUUGUUUUUAUUCGGCCUUAUGGCAAAUAGGUGUUAUGGAAUUAGGACGAAUUUCAGUUCGGGACAAAUGAAAAUUCACAAGUCUAAUAAUAUGUACCAUACCUUAUAGGUUUAACGCGUACUUUAUUCAAUAUGUAAAUUAUAAAGGUUCACCAGAUGGUGAUGUUACGUUAGUAAUAAUUAGUGGGACAUUUUCUUUAUAGAAUUGUGAUGUGACAGUUAGAGAAGAAAGCUAAGUGAAUGCAAAAUUAAUUUCAAGGUCAAGGACAAAAUAACUGAGCAGGAAACAACCUCUAAGUAAACUGUGUGUCAAGUUUAACUUCUUAAACUUGAAAUUCACCUUUGACUUCAAUUUUACUUCUUUCUUUCUGGUCGAGUAAACUUUAUAGUAAUGUUUGAAAACAUACAGCACUUAAUUGUGCAUAAUUACAGGUUAU